rnacentral:tRNA from 1 species
UCGGGUAUGGUGUAACGGCUAACAUUGCCGCCUCUCACUCAUGUUAUGUGACGCGUGCGCGGCAGCUCGGGGUUCGAUUCCCCGUACCCGAA